GAGGAGGUAAGCAUGGGCAGUUCAGUAUAUUUAGACAGACAAUCUUUUUUAUUCUAAAGGAUCAUACACCGCUGUUCAAGGUCAAAAGGAAAAGUGAAUUAUUCUGUGCCAUAGAAAAGGGAUGAAUUCAUAUGCCUAUUUGUGCAGACAUUUUUAAAACAGAUUUUGCAGGAGGUUAUGUUCCCCUAGGUUAACUGCAUGCCUCAUUUAAAUUCCUUACCAUCACUGAUGUCUCAGAAGGGGUGCCAUCUCCGCCAUCGCUUGGAUGAGCAUGUAGUAUUGGAGUCCCCCCCUUUUGUUUUGGGUAGUAUGCAUUAAAUCUGAUGAAAAGAAACAGCAGCUAGGACCAAAAAAUUCCUCCACACUUUGACAAGAACAGCCAGAAUCUGGAAUCAGGUCUCUUUAGAGCAUAAUGAGUCCUUAGAGAUUAUUCAGUCACAUCCAUUAUGUCGUGGCUGGGUAUUUUGGCUCCAACCCAGUGGUUGAUGGGACCACUGGGGUUGACCUGGCAUCUCUGACUGGUAAAACUGUGACACAAUCCCACAGGGGUCUACAAUGCCUGGAAGAUGAGCUCUUUAGGACACUCAGACAGAAUGGCAGGGAAGCCUAACCUUUCCAGCACACAACUUCUUGUAACAGUGAGACCGAUUUACCCAUUCCUGGAGAUUGAACCUGAGCAAACCUUUUCAGCUUUUAGAGUGUUCCCCCAAAUAGAAAGAUAAUAAAUGAGCUUGUACCUCUUAUAAAAGCUCUGAGACUGAGGUUACCCACUAUCAAGACUCUUUUUCUCUGCAGGAUUCACCCAGAAGACUGGACCUUAUUCUACAAAAUAUGAUCCUCAGAGCAGCAAAGAAUGGCAGUACAGGGGAGUUUGGUGAAAUACACAAUCUUGGGCCCUGUCUAGGGAUCUAUAUUCUAGCAAGUCCCCAGAGGCAGCAUUCAACUAUCCCUCAUCAUGUGUUUUACAUAAUUGGAACAAAGAGGUGACAUCAUAUGCUGGAGAGAACCCGGCUUGGGGAUCAAAAAAUUUGGAAAAUUCUCCUAUUUGCUCUGUUGAACAAUGAUUAACACAGAGGCUGCAAAGGAAGAAAGUGCCUUAUUUGGGACUUAGGAAUUACAAUUCGGGAGACACAGACUCAGGUAAAAACAGAAAGAGUGUUCCAGGGAAGAGGGUCUGGGGCCUUAAAUGAAAAAGCCACAAGGUUGUUAAAAGUUGUCUUGCAAGAAUUACAACUGGCUCUGAUGAAAAAAAGGAAAUAUUUGCCCUGUCACCAGUUAUUUAGGGUCAGGGGCUGAUAAAUAUCGUGAGUUUCUGAAGCACUGUGCAGAUGAUCUGGUUGCCUGAGUGAGUUAAGGGAAUAAGUGGUUAAAAGUUCCAAUUCCAUCCAGGCAGACAGGCAGUGGUCCUGCUUCCUCCUCAGCCACUUGGCUCCAUUUUAGAGAGCUCUCUUAGCAAGAGUAGCACUCUUUUGAUUUCCCUUUGCCAGCUCCAGUAUGUUAAUCCUUUUUUUUUUAUUUUAUUUUAUUUUAUUUUUUGUCUUUUUGCUAUUUCUUGGGCUGCUCCCGCGGCAUAUGGAGGUUCCCAGGCAAGGGGUCUAAUCGGAGCUGCAGCCACUGACCUACGCCAGGGCCACAGCAACGCGGG
ensembl:lncRNA